AUUGCCCUAGUAACGGCGAGUGAAGCGGCAACAGCUCAAAUUUGAAAUCUGCCUUCGGGCCGAGUUGUAAUUUGUAGAGGAAGCUUUUGGUGAGGCACCUUCUGAGUCCCCUGGAACGGGGCGCCAUAGAGGGUGAGAGCCCCGUAUAGUCGGAUGCCGAUCCAAUGUAAAGCUCCUUCGACGAGUCGAGUAGUUUGGGAAUGCUGCUCAAAAUGGGAGGUAAAUUUCUUCUAAAGCUAAAUACCGGCCAGAGACCGAUAGCGCACAAGUAGAGUGAUCGAAAGAUGAAAAGCACCUUGAAAAGGGGGUUAAAUAGCACGUGAAAUUGUUGAAAGGGAAGCGUUUGCGGCCAGACUUGCGCCGCCCCGAUCAUCCGGUGUUCUCACCGGUGCACUCGGGGCGGCGCAGGCCAGCAUCGGUUUCGGCGGGGGGAUAAAGGUCCAGGGAACGUAGCUCCUUCGGGAGUGUUACAGCCCUGGGCGUAAUGCCCUCGCCGGGACCGAGGUUCGCGCAUCUGCAAGGAUGCUGGCGUAAUGGCCGCCAACGACCCGUCUUGAAACACGGACCAAGGAGUCAAGGUUUUGCGCGAGUGUUUGGGUGUAAAACCCGCACGCGUAAUGAAAGUGAACGUAGGUGAGAGCUUCGGCGCAUCAUCGACCGAUCCUGAUGUAUUCGGAUGGAUUUGAGUAAGAGCGUUAAGCCUUGGACCCGAAAGAUGGUGAACUAUGCUUGGAUAGGGUGAAGCCAGAGGAAACUCUGGUGGAGGCUCGCAGCGGUUCUGACGUGCAAAUCGAUCGUCAAAUCUGAGCAUGGGGGCGAAAGACUA
rnacentral:rRNA from 2 species